GUAUUCUUGAGAUUUCCAAAAAGGGUUGAUGAGGAGACACAUCAAAGGUCACUAUGCAAAGUAAGCACUCUCAGUGUAAGGGAUAACAUUUCAGAGAAUUGGUUGGCUAUGAAGAAGCAGAUAGUAGGCAUAAAAUUUCACUUCCAGGUUUGCCAGGCUGUCAUCAGUGGGAGCGACAGGCAUUGGUGCUGGUGCCUCAACUAUCUGUUAUCUGCAUAAAAUACUUGGAUGCACAAAUCAAAGGUUACAAAAUUUUUGGAUGACACAAAUACAGUCUUGCUUCAUGUAUGGACAUAGGAACUGAAUACCAGAGGAAUGAUUUUGACCUGCAGCAUUAAACCAAAUAUGACAGGAAGGAGACCUAACAAAGAUGCUGCCAGACCUGCUUUGCUUUUCUAGCAAGAAUCUUCAAGGACAUGAUAAGUUAAAUAUGGAGAGCUUGUUUCCCUUUCUGGGAGAGUCUAGGACCAGUGAGCAUAAUCUCACAGUAGGGUGCUGCCCAUUUAAGAUAAAAAUGAGUGGACUAUUACUUUUUCAGAAAGUAGUAAAUCUGCAGAACUCUCUAUCACUGAAGGCAAUCAAGGCUGGAUCAUUAAGUAUAUUCAAGACUGAGAGAAACUGAUUUUUAAAUCAGUAAGGAUCAGGGUUAUGGAAGUAAGGCAAGAAAGUAGAGUUAAGGAUUAUCAGAGCAAUCAUGAUCUCAUUGAAUGAUGCAGCAUAAUUAAUGGGCUGAACAGACUAUUUCUGUUACUAUGUUUUAUGGUUUUUUGAGCUUAGCUUUUUACACGUAACAGGUAGUCAAGAAUGGGUUCUGUUCUUGAAUCUGUUUGAAAGUUGAACCACAAUGCAGGUCAAUAUAAAGGAGACAUUCGUAAGUACAGAAAAUAUUCAGAUGUUAGGUCUUUAAAAAUAUAACGAUACAGAGGAAGCUCAAUAAUUCAAAGGAUGUGGGCAGGGACUAUUUCGUUCGGUUAAUCCAAUUCCGGAUAAUCAAAUGCCGGAUAACAUGGUUUAGCCAAGCAUCGUGACCUUGCGAUCUUGCCGGAUAAUUCGAUAUUUGGAUUAUUGAAUGCCGAAUAAUCGAGGUUCUUCUGUAUAUGGGAUUGUAUUCUUAAGACGAAAUGACAAAGACUAAUAUAUCCAAGUAUGCUGGUGAUACAAAGCUAACUGGAAAAACAAGCUCAUGGCGAGAACAC